CGAUCUCACUUUUGGAAAGUACUGCGUUUGCAACGAGAACAGCGAUCUCCCACAAGGGACCUGGUUCCGGAAAGUGAACCCCCGAACCCUCGAGAGUCCGGCCUCCCACAACGCGCCUGGGAGGGCUGCGCAGAUGCAGGUAUUGAAGAUUCAGAGAAAUGACAUAGAACCUCCUUUCAAGAACGCUUUGAGAGUGCUGCAAGUACAGAGAUGGCAAGUGCUCAUCAUGCUGGUGUGGACUAUGUGGAAGAUAGAUCUAUUGAGAAGAUAGAAGACUUACUUUCAUCAUCUGAAUCAAAUCCAAAGAGUGUCUGACAUUUCUUUUGUGCAAGGUUGACUAGACAUGAAAAAAAGAAAACUUUAUGGUAACUAUGAACUUCACCUAUGUUAUGAACUUUUUAUAACAAUCUUACAACUUGUGGUGCAAAUCAGAAUCCUAUGUAAAAAUUACGUAUGAUACUUUUUUUUUUUUUUUUAAGUUUUACAGGUGAUUCUGGUGCACUUCAAAUGUUGAAAAGGAUUCUAUAGCAUACUUUUGUUUUCCCCUUUUUGAGGGGGAUAGAGGUUAACUUUGACAAUGCAUUUGAAUGACAUUCUACUAUUUAAUAAUGAAGCUAUGAAUCCAGUUAGUAAAUAGGAAAUGUAUAAAACUUUGAAUACAAUGCUGCUAACUUUAUAUCAGAGGGAUAUAAUCACUACAUGGUCAUACACCUAAUGAGUGACAUGAUAAUGUGAUAAAUGCAUAAUUAGAUUAAAAAAUUUUAAAUAUAUUAUUUAAUGGGUGCCUCUUAUAUAUUUAAAAGUAACCCACACAGAGAUUCAGCUAAAUGGAGCUACCUAAAGUGUAUGGUAGCUUUAUCUUUCUCAUCUUUGUAUUCAAAGUUCUGUUAAUAUUUGAGGGGAAAAAGUUAAAAGAUCUGCAGGAUCCCAUUUCAUGUUUAUGUAAGAAUCUUAUGUACAACUGUACCCACUUUUAAGUGAACCAUGAAGAACUUACUUCAGGAUUAUUUUUAAAAACAGGUAAUGGAUUUCACAAUUACUUUAAACAAAUACUCUGAAAAUGUGUCAGGUUUCAGAAAUGCCUCAAAAUUCACUGUUCCUUUUUAUCUGAACACCAAACUUAAAACUAUGAACUGUAUUUUUCUGUGAAAGUGAGCAGGUAUUACCUAUGGUUAUACAAAAUUCAUUUGCAAAUAAGAGUUUGCAAACAGGACUUAGAAUAGUUUUAAAAGUGAUAAACUUAUUUAAGAAAAGAGGGAACAGCUUCUUAUGGAAGCAGCUGUUCCCAUAUUAAAUUUUAAGUAACACCAAACUGGCAGUUUUUCUGUCUUUUUUUCAGUUAUUUUUACUUAUGUAUACCCUUAGUACCAUGUUGGAAGUUUGAGGUUGGGGGAAAGGAAAGACCUAAUACAUGGAGAAUGUAGCCUUAAAAUCCUCCUUCCCUUCAAAUAAAUUUUAUCAUAAAAGAUUCAAGAUUUGGUGAACCGUCAUUUAAAAUUCAUUUAAAAUUAAGGGAUAAAUAUAUCCUAUUUACCUCA